rnacentral:rRNA from 1 species
UGGGGAAUAUUGCACAAUGGGCGCAAGCCUGAUGCAGCCAUGCCGGGUGUAUGAAGAAGGCCUUCGGGUUGUAAAGUACUUUCAGCGGGGAGGAAGGCGAUAAGGUUAAUAACCUUGUCGAUUGACGUUACCCGCAGAAGAAGCACCGGCUAACUCCGUGCCAGCAGCCGCGGUAAUACGGAGGGUGCAAGCGUUAAUCGGAAUUACUGGGCGUAAAGCGCACGCAGGCGGUCUGUCAAGUCGGAUGUGAAAUCCCCGGGCUCAACCUGGGAACUGCAUUCGAAACUGGCAGGCUAGAGUCUUGUAGAGGGGGGUAGAAUUCCAGGUGUAGCGGUGAAAUGCGUAGAGAUCUGGAGGAAUACCGGUGGCGAAGGCGGCCCCCUGGACAAAGACUGACGCUCAGGUGCGAAAGCGUGGGGAGCAAACA